UAAUAAUUCAUGACACUGGUGAUUAUUUGUCAACUAUUUCAAGUCAUAUUUUUACUUUAUUUUAUUGAAGAAAAAAGCCUGGAUUUUGGAAAGUGUUCGACUUCAAUUGAAACAUUAAGGGAUUGUAAAAAUUCUCCAUCAAAGAACUCUCGGGAUAUGAAAGCCAGUCUGUCUGAGCAAACAAGAGCAUCCUCUUCUGUGGCUACAUGUCACCAUCACAGCAACAAAGUCAAGAAACAGACUAGAGAUGGUGUGUACACUCUCUGUGCGAUGACCUCUGGACUGAGACGGAACUGGGUC